AGAGUUUGAUCCUGGCUCAGGACGAACGCUGGCGGCGUGCUUAACACAUGCAAGUCGAACGGAAAGGCCCUUCGGGGUACUCGAGUGGCGAACGGGUGAGUAACACGUGGGUGAUCUGCCCUGCACUUUGGGAUAAGCCUGGGAAACUGGGUCUAAUACCGAAUAUGACCACGCUCUUCAUGGGGUGUGGUGGAAAGCUUUUGCGGUGUGGGAUGGGCCCGCGGCCUAUCAGCUUGUUGGUGGGGUAAUGGCCUACCAAGGCGACGGCGGGUAGCCGGCCUGAGAGGGUGACCGGCCACACUGGGACUGAGAUACGGCCCAGACUCCUACGGGAGGCAGCAGUGGGGAAUAUUGCACAAUGGGCGCAAGCCUGAUGCAGCGACGCCGCGUGAGGGAUGACGGCCUUCGGGUUGUAAACCUCUUUCACCAGGGACGAAGCGCAAGUGACGGUACCUGGAGAAGAAGCACCGGCCAACUACGUGCCAGCAGCCGCGGUAAUACGUAGGGUGCGAGCGUUGUCCGGAAUUACUGGGCGUAAAGAGCUCGUAGGUGGUUUGUCGCGUUGUUCGUGAAAACUCACAGCUUAACUGUGGGCGUGCGGGCGAUACGGGCAGACUAGAGUACUGCAGGGGAGACUGGAAUUCCUGGUGUAGCGGUGGAAUGCGCAGAUAUCAGGAGGAACACCGGUGGCGAAGGCGGGUCUCUGGGCAGUAACUGACGCUGAGGAGCGAAAGCGUGGGGAGCGAACAGGAUUAGAUACCCUGGUAGUCCAA
rnacentral:rRNA from 1 species